AUUACCAUGAGCAAAUCAGAGUGUUUAAAGCAGGCUUUUUAAGCUUGAACGUGUUAGCAUGGAAUAAUGAAAUAUGACCCAGGGUCUAUUUCGUUGGUUUUGAGACCCAAAGUAAUGAUGAAUAGGAGUGGUCGGGGGCAUUUGUAUUUCGGCGCUAGAGGUGAAAUUCUUGGAUUG
rnacentral:rRNA from 1 species